ensembl:snRNA U6 U6 spliceosomal RNA
GUGCUGUUUUUUGCAGCCCAGGUGGUAAACAUUGGAAUAAUACAGAGAAGAUUAGUGAGGUCCUGGUGCAAGGAUGACACAUAUCUGUGAUGCUGCAUUCCAUAUUUUU